AAUGAACGCUGGCGGCGUGGAUUAGGCAUGCAAGUCGAACGCGAAAGUUCCCUUCGGGGAGCGAGUAGAGUGGCGAAAGGGUGAGUAAUGCUUGGGUGACCUGCCCUCGAGACGGGGACAACAGUUCGAAAGGACUGCUAAUACCCGAUAGUCCGGUUUAGAUGCGUCUAGAUCGGUAAAUGGUGCUUCCGCUCGAGGAGGGGUUCAAGUCCUAUCAGCUUGUUGGUGAGGUAACGGCUCACCAAGGCGAUGACGGGUAGCCGGACUGAGAGGUUGGCCGGCCACAUGGGAACUGAGACACUGUCCUGACUCCUACGGGAGGCUGCAGUCGAGAAUCUUCUGCAAUGGGCGAAAGCCUGACGCAGCGACGCCGCGUGGGGGAUGAAGGUUUUCGGAUUGUAAACCCCUUUCAUGAGGAAAGAUAAAGUGGGUAACCACUUAGACGGUACCUCAAGAAGAAGCCACGGCUAACUUCGUG
rnacentral:rRNA from 1 species